rfam:Schistosoma mattheei strain Denwood, Zambia genome assembly, scaffold: SMTD_scaffold0000172
GCAUUGCUGGGGGGUCCCACAAUAGGACGAAACGGCCGUCCAGUGC